rnacentral:rRNA from 1 species
AGUGAACGCUGGCGGUAGGCCUAACACAUGCAAGUCGAACGGCAGCACAGUAAGAGCUUGCUCUUACGGGUGGCGAGUGGCGGACGGGUGAGGAAUACAUCGGAAUCUACUUUUUCGUGGGGGAUAACGUAGGGAAACUUACGCUAAUACCGCAUACGACCUACGGGUGAAAGCAGGGGAUCUUCGGACCUUGCGCGAUUGAAUGAGCCGAUGUCGGAUUAGCUAGUUGGCGGGGUAAAGGCCCACCAAGGCGACGAUCCGUAGCUGGUCUGAGAGGAUGACCGGCCAACCGGGAACUGGGACCCGGCCCAGCUCCCUACGGGAGGCAGCAGGGGGGAAUUUGGGAAAAGGGGGGAAAGCCUGACCCAGCCAACCCGGGGGGGUGAAGAAGGCCUUCGGGUGUAAAAGCCCUUUUGUUGGGAAAAAAAAGCAGCAGGUUAAUACCCCGCUGUUCUGACGGUACCCAAAAAAUAAGCACCGGCUAAUUUCGU